UUAGUUUGGCAGCCUCUUCUC
rnacentral:miRNA from 1 species